GAAGUGCCUUUUUCUUGAUCCAGCUUUCACUUGGUUGCUGUAAACUUUUGACUGUUUUCCAGAGUUCUUAUAAAAUGUGUUCUGACAGUUUCUGCUUGUUUUUUAAUGUUUCUGUUGAAGGGGCGGAGACCUCCAGGUCCCAGGAAGGGCUGGCUGUGCUCUAGAAUACCGGCCGUCUCACCACCUCUGCGAUGUCCAUCCAGCGGUGACCCUCCUCCUGUCCCAAGAGGUCCCAACGGUUUCAUCCAGCCUGAAAAGGGAAGGAAACUCUGUUACAUGUUACAACAUUGAUGAACCUUGAGACCAUUGUGCUAAGUGAAAUAAGCCAGCCUCAAAAGACAAACACAGUACGAUUCCGCUGAUCUGAGGUGUGAGGUUUCGAGCUGCCGCCACCAGCGCGAUUCCCGGGGGCAUGUCAGCGGGAGGAUGAAAUCAACUUCUAGAGAAAGGCAGAGCAAAAACAAUUAGAGAAAUGGAUGGUGUCCUCUGAGCCUCUGGAUUGAAGGACCUGCAGCCAGCUCUAUCCUCGGACUUUAAGUUGUGUCAGCCAGAUAAAGAAGGCAUCCUGAGUAUUGGAUACCCAGUCCCGGUGAGGUAGCAUCUUACCGAGGACAGCAAUGGUGGCCAUGUCUCCCAAGACAGCACAAUCUUUUCCAGAGACAGGAAAACAUAAGAUGAAUCUCACCAAGGCCAAGGAGAGAAGAUUGCCCACUCCCUUACUGCUCCAGACCUAGAGGCACAAGGCUAGAGUUGCCAAGAAAGUUACUGUAUUGACAGGCUUCAUGUUUCAGUUCUGGCUUGCUGCUGGUCAUCUAAACACUCUUUGGUACACUGAGGAACAGAAUGGCCAUCAGCACCGAGGGAGAGAACAGAAGUGUGGUCGUUGGCUGAAUGGAACGCACGAGACGGAACCUGGACUGCUCCACCCGACCCGUGGAAGUUUCCUUGGGGGAGAAGAAAAUUGCAGAGAAGAGGCUGUUUUCCUGUUUUUUCGGGACAUCCCCGAGGGUGGAGAAGAAGAGGUGUUUCCCAACUGAGCAAGCGUCAGUAGGGAAAGGUGAACUGCAGGGGAUUUUCAGAGGUAAGUUUCCCUCCUACCUGUGGGGUUCCAGCCCACCGACUCUUGUCCUUUACUGUUUGCUCUCUCCUCCAACCUGAUGUCUCAGGUUGGAGGCCACCUGAAACAGAGCACUCGGCUGUGAGGCUAAUGGUUUUGCCGGCAGAUCACCACCCCCGUGUGGAGAUCACCAUCUCAUUUCCUCGGAACGGCUGUCUUCCGUGCUUCCUUGGGGGUCCGAGAGCAGGGACUGCAGGCAGAUAGUUCCUCCCUCGGCUUUGCUAUCUUCUCUACCCUGCCUGGGGCUGGAUCACUCUGUGUGAGCUUGCUCGCUCUCCCAGGACUCUGUUAAAAGGGAAGCGUAGAAGACUGCAUCGGGGUCUAGCCAGAGGUGCAGAAUCACGGAGCAGGAACGCCUGUAUAAUCUUCCGGACACAGUGCAAAGUGCAAAUGCAAGGGUUCUUGUUCAAAAAUUCCGAAUUCCAAGAUGGUAGCAGCCGAGCAUCCAGAGCAGGGUACUUCUAAGUAAGGGCCUGGCGUGGGUCGCAUCACCGGGAAGCUGGAGGUCUACCUCUGGAGGGGAAUCCAGAGGAAAGUGGAACAGUUUCAGACCCACCCUAAUGGACGCCUUUGGCCAGGCAUUCUGGGAACAGUUGGGCCUGGGCAGGUUGGCCCAUUACGAAGCCAUAAUGGCCACCACCUGCCAACUGAAUUCUCUCCAUCGAUCCUUCUCUGCACAGAUCUCAGCUUGUGGUCUUUGACCCAAGGAACCACGGGUGACAGUUUUACCAAAUGUUUUGUCCCUGCGUAAUAAGGCUCACCCAGUUUCCAGCUUCCAUCUGUGUCGUUCUCGCCUGCCAUCUGACCUCCUCCAAAAAUUGUGACAUUUUAGGCUCUCUCGUCCCUACUGACUGCAACUUUGGGGCAUUAAUUAUUUGCCAGAUUGGAUCAAACUGACUGUGACCUCAAACUCAAAAUAACAGUGGCUGAAAGAAGAUGAAAGCUCAUGUCUCUCGCCCACAGCGACUCUAGAAGCAUAGCCCAGGCUGAUAUGGUGCCUCCAAGGUCAUCAGGGACCGAGGCUCCCACUAACCUGUUGUUUUGUCUUCUUAGCCUCAGUCUCCAUGACUUAGGGUGGCUGCUGAGCAUGAAACGCUGCCCCCUUGUUGAAAAAGCCUCCCAGAAGUCCCGGACAAUACUCCUGCUGAUAUGUCACCAUCUGGAAUUUGGUCACUCAUCCACAAGUGGCUGCAAGGGGGCUGGGAAAUGUCUUUUUUUUUUUUUUUUGAGAGAGACAGAGAAGGGGGAGAGGGGCAGAGAGAGAGAGGGAGACACAGAAUCCAAAGCAGGCUUCAGGCUCUGAGCUGUCCCAGAGCCCGACACGGGACUCGAACCUGUGAAUAGAGAGACCAUGACCUGAGCCGACAUCGGAUGCUUAACCGACUGAGCCACCCAGGGGCCCCUGUCGUCUUUUAUCCUGGGUGGUACCUGCUGACACGAUAUGGGAUUCUGUUAUGGCAGAAGAGGAAGUAACUAUUGAGAGAUAAUGAGGGAGUUCGGGUAGGGUUAGCACUCCUUUCCCCCGUUACACGCUGGGGCCCGCUCUUAGCAGAAGGACCGUGUGGGCUACAGGCUGCCGUGGACCCGGCUGUGCUUCGCCUUAGCCCUGAAAUCCCUUUCAGCAGCUCUCCGCCUCCUGGAUCAGAUCCUCCUGGAUAUACAUUCUGACUUGGAGUCAUAUGGGUCUGUUAAGUGUAGCGGAAACAUUCGCUCCUGGAAUGACAAGUGCGAUCCUGUAGCCGAGUAGAAGCUGCUGAUGGGAAUUUAGAGAACAGCGAGACAAGUGGUUUUCAAGCACUUCCAGCAGUGGAAACAUUUCGUUCACUGCAUUCUGAGCAGGGGGCCCAGUGUGAAGAAGGGGUGAGAGUCGAGCUGCCUCUGGUAGAAGCUGGGGUGCGGGUGGGGCUGGUACUCAGCCCCACUCCCUCUCGUCUGCCGUGCAGGCUUCCCCGCUCCCUGCCUGGGCUCUCUGGUGUCUCCUCUGGACCCGCUGUUCUAGUCCAAGUGCCUCGUUUUGCUGACGAGAACACUGAGGCCCGGGGAGGUUGUGACCUGGACAGAGCUGACAGCAGGCGUGUUUUGUCCUCGCUGGUGUGCAGGUGGUGUCAUAGUUAACGGGGCCCACGGGGGGCACAGAUCUGACACAAGCAAAGUCCUCACGUUCGGCUGACACGGAAGUUCUCAGUACCUGGCCACAACUGACUGAGACCUUCUGUGUAUUACAGAGGCCGUCACUCUGUCAGAUGGGCCAGUGGGAACCGGGAUCGUGCUGAAUUGACCCUGGUUAUUGAUUUGGUAGGUUUGUGUUUUUUUUUUUGUAGUCGGAGCAGCAGACCUUUAAUCCCUUUGAUGGACUUAGAGGCAGAGGGUAGGCGGUGCUUUAAUUUGUAGGGGGGUAAGAGAGAGGCACAUUAACAGCUGGCACCAGAAUUCCUCUUAGGGAGAGAGCUUUGUUCCAGAAAAUGUGAUGAUAAGCUGCUAGAGGCCGAAGGAGGGCACAAGGCUAGGCAGGGGUUAGCUGGUAGGCUGCCGUGGGCUGUGCCAGGGCCUGCCUAUGCCCCCCCCCUCCGUUUCCUUCAGGGUUCCAGGCUCUUCUCCUGGCACCUCCAACCUCCCUCUGCCCGUCUGCUUCACUUUCUUCUCUCUGCUCCAGAGUUCCAGGUGCUGGCAACUUUGGCUUUCCCGUGGCCUCCUGGGUCUGCCCCAUAUCUUUUGCCAUCAUGAACUUUUUGGGUUGUCUUCCUCUGCUAAUCGCUUCUUUUCCUCAGCGUUUCUUAAUCCAGAUUCCUGAGACAUGGGGCAGAGGCAACCGAUUUCUCUUUUUCAUCAAGUCAUGGGUCGAAGGCCGCCUAAAGAAUUGUUGCCAUUAGGAGGGUGCCCACUUGGACUUCUCAGCAAUGGCCGACGGAGUGACAGAUGCCCUGGCUACCGGAGCAGCUGCUCUGCCGGCCAAGGUGACCAGCAGGGCCGGCGUCCUUCAGGAGGGCGAAUAGUCCCCAUGAUUGUUGUUCGUUGUAUAGGACCGCAACGACACCCGUAUCCUAUUGUCCUGGAUCCGAUUCAGCGCACCGCCGCUCUGCUUGUGUGCAGACGUGUAGUAAAAUCCCCUCCCGCACAUUUUUUCUGCUCGCUGACUUCAUCAAAAAGUGCUUUCCAAGCGUCUGAUCGCACGUGGUGGAGGAUGGUUGUUUGGCAGAAAGGAUUUGCUGUGUUUGGGUGCCGACUGUCUUUGAGAAUGCUGAUCAGAGAGGACUCCCUUCUGUUGGCCCGGCCCUAAUUGAUUUAUUGGUUGUCGCAUGAAGCAGGGAGCUAGGAACUCAGGAUGAUAUGACAAGUAUCAGGCCAAAGAAUUUUUCCAGGUCUCUCUUCUUUAUUCAAGACAAGUUUGAGUAAGACACUACUGGCCCCCCCCGCCCCCACCCCCGCCUUAUCUGCUGUUUCACUUCCUGUGGUUUCAAUUACCCACCGCCAACUGUGGACUGGAAGAAGAUGAUCCCCUCUUUGACAUAUCGUCAGGUCGACAGUAGCCCUAAUGCUGCGGUGCCUCCAUCACUCACGUCGCUUCAUCUCGUCACGUAGACGUUUUCUCAUCUCACAUCCUCACAAGAAGGGUGAGUGCGGUACAAGAAGAUAUUUUGAGAGAGAGAGAGA